ensembl:lncRNA
AUGGAGCCAGGGUUUGCUGCCUUCAGCUUGGAGCAGCCUCUGCUAUUCCAGAGCAAUGUAUGCUGUGGAGGCCAGAGAGAAGGGGAGAAGGGAAGAACUGCCAGUGGGCUAGAUAAUGGUAGCAAUAAGACUGUGCAAGACUUGCCUUGCUGCAUAAGACCCCUGUGCAAGCCAGGGGGUAGCUGCAGAAUGGUUCCAGUUUCAGCCCAGGUAAAUGCUGAAGCAUCAAAGCAUUGUGCCAAGCCCAAAUCAAUCUUAGAGUGCAAUCACAGCACUGGGCCAGGAAGGCCUUGGAGGAGGCCAUAUCCCCAUGCUGGUGUUUCACAUCCAGCAGCAGCUGGCAAUAGCAGGAGAAGCCACAGAAACGGUUGUAGGAAAGGUGCGUUCCUGCCUCUGAGAAAUGGGGGUGGGAGGUUAGAGGGGAAGGAGUUCUCUCUGCCAGCUAAUUACACAUGCUGCCUUCUGUUGGGAUUCAGGCAGGAAAGAGGUGACGUGGCAGCAACUCGGGUACAGAGAUAGAGGAGGCAGCAGGAAAAAGGAUGGAUUUUGUUGCAGUUGUUCUAUAGCACGCUGCUGGGAGGCAAGAAGAGGAGUGAGGAAAAAAGGACUGUCGAUGAGGACAUACUAUGUCCUACCAACUGCCAGCCCUGUGGGGGAGCAAAAGAGACAUUUUGUCACUGGCUUUGUGAUUAGGAUUUGAUGGCGCAAAGUCAGCGUGAGGCAUAGGUCUCCUGCAUGGUGGAACAAAACUGUUGCUUUCAAAGGGCCUGCAGCAUGUUUUCAGCUGUCUGGGCUGGAAGGGGCUUAUCUGCAUGCAGCAUUCAGCUGGGUACAGGACGGCUACAGAUAAUUUGCAGUGGUGGGGCUAAAAUCUUCCCCUCUCCUGGUCACAGACAUCUGAUAAUGGACCCUUUUGUGAAGUCGGGUCUCAUCGUGCCAAUGCGAACAGUCAGACAAACUCCAAAUAAUCAUUACAAGCAUAAUGCCAUUCUCUCAGACUUUCCAGGUGCCAGCUAUAGUUGACAAAAGGUCAGACUUGCAUCUGACCUCAGUCUUAGAGGAACGCUGUCUGGAAAGCCAAGGGCAAAAAGGCGAGUGUAUACAGAUGUGUGCUGACUGGAGUGGCAGAAAGUUAUACCUGACUUGAUCUCUGCCACUGGGAUAAGGUAUGUCAGUGACAGACUAAUUCUCUCCCUUCUAGAAAAGAUGGGACGUGCUGUGCAAUAACUAGGGAUGAGAAGGGUGUUAAAUCUUGGUCUACGCCUAUAUUUAGCAUAUGAUUGUUUCUUCUUCUCUGCCUGCCUUGGCUGUGAGCAGUGGCACUUUUUCCUCUUCCUUAGGGGAAGCUAUUUCUAAAUGUGACUUUUUCAUUAUCACUACUGCUAAUAACUUCUUGACAGUCCUCUCAAGUUCAGGUCCAUCCCUUGAUUCCUAGCUCCACAGUCCCAAGAUUUGUUUAAGAAAGCAUCCGCCCAUGAACCAGUGAGUCUUUCCAAAAUUGAAAUUCUGUCUGAAAACAAAGCUAACUCCAAAGCUUCACCUACAACCAGUCCCUCUGUCUGGACUGAUUGUUUUUAAGCAAGGACAGUGCUUUGAAAGAUGAGUAUCCUUUUCAGGCUGUGUGCUCUCCUCUGGCUCCUCCAUCGUUUCAAAAUCAAUAGCUGUCUCUGAUUGCCCCCUCCCCUCCAGACCCUGCUCUUUGCUACCUCAUUUUAGUUUUAAUUUGCCACAGCAAAACUGCAGUCAUUUUUUCCCCAUCCUAAUUAAGAAACCUAUCCAUUAAGGAGAAAGAAAACAAAAAACAAGACCUUCUUAUCUAAGGCCUUAGCACAGAACAGAGACAGAAAUGAUUGGUGGGAAGAUCAGCUCCAGAAAGCCAAGGCCUUUACUGAUUCUUCUGGCCUUCCUCAGUAAAUGCAGAAUUAGAGUUUUCAGUCCUCCUAGAAUCUAGGAAGCUAAGAGCUAGCGUAAAAUGCUGACUUCCCAACAUCAGAGAAUAAAGAAGCAGUAUGUUUUUGAGUCUGACUUUUU